GCUUGGUGAGCACCGCUGUGACGAAGCUGGGGUCGGCGUGGGCAAACAGUGGCAUGUGGGCCACCAGGCCCCGGCAGCGGUGUUCAUAGUACUCAUGGAUGCGCUGCCGUGUGUCAGCCGGCAGCUUGUGGAAGGACAUGUACUGCUCCACCUGCUUGUACUGCAGCCCAGCCAAUGGCCCGCAGGCAAGAGGACACAGGUACAGAUGUGGAGCAGGAACAGUGGCAGAAGCUACUCAGGCAAAAGAGCCCUCAGAAGGCCCCAGAGAGGCAGAGCUGCGGGGAGUUCUCACCACCAUGUGGUUGAUGGAGACCCA